rnacentral:lncRNA from 1 species
AUUUAAACAAACAACUCUCUCUCUCUCUCUCUCUUACACACACACACAAACCUUCUUUCUGACGUGCGACCUAAGGGUCACCAUAGAAGAAGCCCCAUGUAGCAGCCGAUGAUGGUUUCCACCUUCUUCUCCAGUGAGACCACAUAAAGUCAGACUUUUGAUUAUAAUUAACAAGCGUCAAGCGUAACAGCAACAUAAAAAGGCUA